ensembl:lncRNA
CCCCCCCCCACAUAAGUGUAAAAUGAACUCUAAGUGGAGGAGAUGGGGUGGAGGGGGGAUGCUGAUAAACCGUCAAUGGAUAGGGGUAAGUCAGCUGUAUUUAUACCCUAGUGUUGAUUAUCUUAAGUGAGCUCCACCUGUGCUAAUUAGGCUAAGUAUCUGACGUGCUCCUCCCGAACCUUGUUAAUAAAACAUAAUUUCACGAGUUCACACUUACAUAUAAUUAGCUGAAGUAUAUAAUGCAUAUUUGAAGUGCUGUCCAGGGAAAAGCUCCGAGCUCGGGAAUGGGCCGAACCUAGAGUACCCCCUAAAAAGGCAAUAGCAAAAGGACAGCCGCCAGACUAAGGACCCCCCCACAAUAGCAUUGAGAUCUGGUGGGGGCUGAUAUUUGCAAAGUCAGCUGGUAGGCAGGCUGGAAGAGCCUACAUACUCCGGUGGGAGUGACUUAUACAUUUGGAAAGGUAGGCCCUACCGGCUGCUGGUAUCGGACUACGUGAUUUGGGGCGCCUGGUCGGGAGGGCUCGAGCCAUUGCUCAACCGGAGCACCUCACUGCAUUGGAACGGAUGAGCCCUACUGGCCGAUGAAGGAGGAGCAGCGUGAUUGGAUAGCCCGACCAGGAGGGCCCGAGUUGCCUCGACUGGAAUAGGUCACAGUGUUGGCGUACGGGCCCUACUGGCUGAUGAGCCCCUGCUAAUCAGUGGGCAACCAGGGCAGAUAACUGACCGAGAGGACCCAUGAAGCCUCCGACUGGAGAUCGAGACUCAGGACGACGGACGUGUAGGUCCUCUCAGUUGAGCAGAUAAACAGGCUUUGGGCCGCCGGUAAAGAGGACUUUAGCGACAUCCGACGGGAGAUCAAUACUCACGGCAUCAGAUGGAUAAGACCUGUUUGUGGGCAGCAAGUAAAGAAACCCAACCCGGGAGCACUCUCGCCGACAUCUGACAUGAGCACAAUACUCAACGGCAUCAGACGGGUAAGCCUCGCCGGCCGGGGAGUGGGUAAAGGAAAACUCGACUGCGUGGGCUCUCGUGGCAUCCGAUGGGAGAUCAGGACUCAGGGCAUCGAACGGGUAAGCCUCACCGACCGUAGAAAGGAAAAGGUAAGGUUUUCUACGGGAGGCUCUCGCCGACAUCCAAUGGGAGCUCAAUAGUCAAGGCAUCGAACAGAUAAGCAUCGAACGGAUAAGCCUCUCUGGACACAAGACGGAAAGGUAAAGUUGUGUUGCCAGGAGGCUCUCGCCGGCGUCUGAUGGGAGCUCAAUACUCACAGCAUCGGAUGGGUAAGCCUUUGUUGACCAUAGGAUGAAAAAAGUAAGUUGUCUAGCCGGGAGACUCUCGCCGACAUCUGACAGGAGCUCAAUACUCGCAGCGCCGAACGGGUAAGCCUCGCCGACCGUAGAAAGGAAAAAGUAAUGUUGUCUAGACAGGAGGCUCUCGCUGACGUCUGAUGGGAGGUAAAUACUCGCGACAUCAAACUGGUAAGCCUCUCCGAACAUAACACGGAAAGGUAAAGUUGAAUGGCCAGUAUUUGGUGAGACAGUGAAGGUUUUUUUUUUUUAAGUAAGGGAGUGUAGCCGGGAGGCUCUUGACGGCAUCUAGUGGGAGCUCAAUACUCACGACACGGACUGGUCAGGUUCGCCGGUAGUCGGAUGGAAAGGCCAAGAUCGCUUGACCGGGAGGGCUCUUGCAGCAUUCGACGGGAGUUCAAUACUCACUGUGCGGACGGCUAAGCAACACUGAUAGUUGAAAGAAAAACAUUCACUCGACCGGGAAAGCUCUUGCAGCACCUGCCAGGGAGUUCAAUACUAAGAACAAUUUGGGUUGUCUAAAUGGGUAAAUGCUAUGAGGAUUACUUUGUGUAACUGUUUAAAAAAUCCGAUGAGCUGCUUCCGAUAACGUGUUAGAAAAUCUUGGUGCGGUCUUUGCAUUCAAAAGUUAAGUGUACAAAAAAUUAAAUAAAUAGAAUUUCCUGUGCCAGUGUACCCAAAAUAAGUGCUAUGAAUCUGGAUGCAUAGGCAUAACUCUGAAAUCUGAGGUGAAGUCGACUUUUGCCAGCCAAGUGCUAAGACCCAUGAAAUAUAUGUCUUUUUUUUUUUCUCCCAGAAUUUCAGAAGUCAUCA